UACUUUAAAAUGGCUUUAAUAAAAACAUGUCCUCAAUCUACACACAAUACCCCAGAAUGACUAAGCAAAAACAGGCAUUUUUUGUGUGCAAAUUCAUUAAAAAUAAAAACAGAAACACCUUAUUUACAUAAGUAUUCAGACCCUCAGAAACAAGAUUCUCUGGUCUGAUGAAACCAAGAUCGAACUCUUUGGCCUGAAUGCCAAGCGACACGUCUGGAGGACGUGGUGGUGGCUGCAUCAUGCUGUGGGGAUGUCUUUCAGCAGCAGGGAAUGGGAGAUUAAUCAGGAUCAUGGGAAUGAUGAACGAAGCAAAGUACAUUGAGAUCCUUGAUGAAAAGCUGCUCCAGAGCAGGACCUUAGACUGGGGCGAAGGUUCACCUUCCAAUAGGACAACGACCCUAAACACACAGCCAAGACAAAGCAGGAGUGGCUUCGGGACAAGUCUCUGCAUGUCUUUGAGUGGCCCUGCCAGAGUCCAGACUUGAACCCGAUCGAACAUCUCUGGAGACCUGAAAAUAGCUGUGCAGCGACGCUCCCCAUCCAACCUGACCAAGUUUGAGAGGACCUGCAGAGAGGAAUGGGAGAAACUCCCCAAAUACAGGUGUGCCAAGCUUGUAGCGUCUUACCCAAGAAGACUUGAGGCUGUAAUCCCUGCCAAAGGUGCUUCAAAGUACUGAGUAAAGGGCGUGAAUACUUAUGUAAAUGUGAUUUCAGUUUUUUAUUUUUAAUACGUUUGCAAAAAAUUCUAAAAAUCUGUUUUUACUUUGUCAUUAUGGGGUAUUGUGUGUAGAUUGAUGCAGUGGGAAUCCAUUUUAGAAUAAGGCUGUAACGUAACAAAUUGUGAAAAAAGUCAAAGGGUCUGAAUACUUUCCAAAUGCACUGUAUAGUGUACACUGUAUACACUGCACAAAGAUAUGUCCAUAGAUAAACAGGAACAACGAAAUGUAGCUAUACGUAGAAUGUAUGCACACAUGACUGUAAGUCGCUUUGGAUAAAAGCGUCUGCUAAAUGGCAUAUAUUAGCUAGUUUGCUGUGUAGUGUUUGUGUUAGCUGUGUUGUUGCAUAGGUAGCAAGGGGGAAAGGUCAGGUAGCAAGAGGGAAAGGUCAGGUAGCAAGGGGGAAAGGUCAGGUAGCAAGAGGGAAAGGUCAGGUAGCAAGGGGGAAAGGUCAGGUAGCAAGAGGGAAAGGUCAGGUAGCAAGGGGGAAAGGUCAGGUAGCAAGGGGGAAAGGUCAGGUAGCAAGGGGGAAAGGUCAGGUAGCAAGGGGGAAAGGUCAGGUAGCAAGGGGGAAAGGUCAGGUAGCAAGGGGGAAAGGUCAGGUAGCAAGGGGGAAAGGUCAGGUAGCAAGGGGGAAAGGUCAGGUAGCAAGGGGGAAAGGUCAGGUAGCAAGGGGGAAAGGUCAGGUAGCAAGGGGGAAAGGUCAGGUAGCAAGGGGGAAAGGUCAGGUAGCAAGGGGGAAAGGUCAGGUAGCAAGAGGGAAAAGGUCUGUCACCAGUCAACAAAUGACCAGUGAACCUUGGCUGGAAACAAUGCAAUGGAACGAACGUCUAGACGGCUUGGGUAGCAACCUCAGGACUAUCUCCCCUGGAAAGGAUGAAAUAGUAGGAAUAAAUGAAUGUUAAUCAUUUUAAUAUGCUGGUAGCUGUUGUAUAAAAGUGAUAAUGGCCUCAAUAACGUGGUUUGGAGGAUAUAUUGGCAUGGUCUGUCGGCCCGAGACAAAACACACCGUACCAUUAUAUCCUCCAAACCACAGCUUCUCGGGCAUUAUCACUAAAAUAGAAUUGUCACUGCUCACUGGGGAGAACGACGCUAACUUUGAACGUUAAAUGAAAUCCCCAGAAUACAAAAUACAUUUGGGCCCAUUUACAAAGCUAACAGACUGAAUUUCAACAUCUACCAUGUGCAAAAGCGACCUGUUCCUGGUUUCAUGGUGUAUUCCUGAGUCUUCCCCUUUAACAUUUACAUUUACAUUUAAGUCAUUUAGCAGACUUUAAAUUGACAUAAAAGUGUUGACUAGGGGGCUUUUCUAGGUACAAGAAUAUUAAGGUUUAAAAUAGCUAGUGUCAACACUUAAGUACAAGAAUAUUAAGGUUAUAAUAUUGUAGAGCAUAAUCAAAUUAAUGUUAUUUAAGGCAAAGAAAACAAUGUUUUAAGUUUAAGUUAGUAGCACCCUCUUGAAUUGCCCCAUUUUACCCUGCAUUCUAGAGCAGGUAGUGAACGCCCUGUACGUUGCCAUGUUUCUGUCCGGCUCCCCGACCUCGAACCGCCGACCCAGAGAG